CCUUCCCGCGAUCCUGUGCUACUCCUUUCACCCCACGUUCGAAACCUUCUGGAGGAGAACAGAGCCACGCGAUAGCUAUUCCUAUUCCUGGCCCAUUAUCCUCCUUGUCCCGUCGCCUAGACCCCCACCCCCGGUCCCUCUCUCUUUCUCUCUCUCUCUCUCAUCGGUGCGUGGUCCUCACGGUGGUUGUUAUCGGCGAACGCGCUCCUCUUGAGCCGUGGUCAGGAGAUCGGGUGCAUCCCCACCCUCUCACGGCUCCUGCGACCGAAGGGACGGCCGGAGCACUCGUCCCCUUCUACUCCGACGGCCAAGCCACCGGGAUCCCGCGUGAAGUUCUACUCCGGCGGCCGGAUCACCUCGGGUUUGUGGAACACCGGAUCUGUCCAGCUCGAGGUCCUUGUCCAUGGAUCUGGCCAGGAAAAAUCAUUUUCUCCAUUGUUUCUGUCGGGACGGGAAAUCCUCUCUUUGACCUGCUCUAUGUAGUUGCUGGCAAUGAUUUUCAGAUUUGGCGCAUGGUAGCUAAAAUACACGGUAUAAUUUUGGUGUGGAUAUGUUGAUUUCAGUAGGGAACAUUUUCUGAGGGUGUUCAAGUAUAAUUGUUGGAUGUGUCACUGGAUUAUAGUAUUGUCGCUGGAUUUUUGCUUGGAUUUAGUUGUUGGUAUAAUGCACGCCCAUGGAUAAAUUAGUGUGUUGUGGAUUAUAUUAAAUUCAGUAGGGAUUCCCUGGUCUGAGGUGUUGUAGUACUAAAUGUUGGCUUUGUCACCCCCCAACGAGAUGAUAUUUUUGAUUGGAUUCAUUGUAGUCUGAACAGAGUUUUAGCUAAAUAGAGAGCUAGUGCACAAAGCAUGCAUAGUUUUGUUACCUGUGUGGAUUUAGUUGUCGGGUUAGUUGCUCCCGGGCUAUUUUAGUGCUGUGGAUUUGUCAAUGUGCAUAUGCCGAAUCUAGUAGGUGAAUACUAGGGACGAAUCUGGGUUGUUUAUUUUGUUUGGAGGUAUUUUUGUGGGAUUUUCACCGCUUAGCAGCAUGAUUAUUUGUGAACUUGUAAGAAAUUGGUAAGGUAGUUAUCAAAUAAUUAAAUCUAAACUUGUUUGUCAUCAACCCCAUAGAUUGAAAUCUGUUUUGCAGUUUAUCAAUUUGAUUAGUUAAGUCUACAUAGAGUUUUUGUUCAUUGUUUUCUCCAUCGUCUCAUUAACUGAAUAAUGAUGCGUGAUUGCUCGUCUGUUCAAUUUGAUUAGAUCUCUCGUUAUCAUUAUGGAUUUAUGAUGAGCCAUAUUUUUUUCCAACUUCCUCAGUAGUGCUAAUAAAUGUAACACGAGUGACCAUUAGGGUUUAGGGUUCAGGAUGUUUCUCUUUAUUUUGUUGGUUAAGAGACUAGAAAUCAUGCAGCCUUAAUACUAAACUGUAUGCAGAUUGUGUCUAUUUGAGCUCCAAGCUUUUUUUAGCCACCUCAUUUUUAACUCGUCUUCUCAUUAUGUCUUCGUGGUGAGCAAUAAUGUGUUUUCCCACUUUUCACUCUAGUUGUUAAUGAUCGUGACACCAAUUCACAUGCAUUAUGGCAGGGUACAGGCUAUUUCUUUUUGGUUCUUUUGAUUAUCAGUCCUAAAAUGGUGUGGCCUGGACCAAAACCUUAUUUAAAUUCUGUUUUAUCUAAGGAGUUAUAUUAUCAAUGUGAUUUGUUUGUAAUGAGCUGAAGGUUUUCUUCGGUUCUGAUUAUCCCUUGGGUAGUUAUCUACAUGUGCUUUCUUUUGUUAAUAAGGAACAAGACAGUAUGAUCCACCAGAUUAAGCGUAUGAGUUCUAUGAUUUGUAGUCCAUGGAAUGUGAUUUUUGGGACUUGUUUCACCGAGAGCCGAUUUAAUGUUCAGAGAAAGAAAUGUUUGCAAGA